rnacentral:rRNA from 1 species
AUCAUCGAAUCUUUGAACGCACCUUGCGCUCCCGGCAGAUCUAAUCUGGGGAGCAUGCCUGUUUGAGGGCCGCGAAUUGUUUCGAACGACAACUUUUUUCACAAAGAGUUGGCGGAUCGGUAUUGAGGGUUUU